GUGACGUCUGAGGUGAGGUCACAAUAGGCAUUACUAUUUCUGCCUUGUUCUUUUGGAUGGCUUCGUCUGGAGGAAGCCAGGGGUCUUGCCAUGAAGGACAUUCAAGCAGUUCUGAGGAGAGGCCCAAGUGAAGAGGAACCAGUUGCCAGCACCACCCUGUCAGCUAUGUUAGGCCCCUGCCUAUAUAAACAAUUUGAUUAAAAACAUAUGUUUAAAAAUUCAUCAGUACAUGGGAGAUAUGAUGAUUUAUCAUUGAAGAUUUAGGAUGAUGGGCAGAGAAAGGCAAUCUGUUUUGUCUAUUGUCCAAUCAGUGCAUGUGAAGAUUUGUUACAGUAUCCAGUUAACACUGAAUCACUAAGGCUUUAUCCAGGAAUAGUACUCAAAGUGCUCAGAUGUUCCUUUAAAUUCAUUUACCUGGGUAACUGCUGAAAGAGAGGCGACUACUGCUGGUAUCUUUAUCUAUGAUGUUGAAGUCCCAGUGUUUAUAUAUCCUGAGCAUGGCUGCAUACGUGUACCAGCUUGAGUGAGCAAAAAGGAUGUUCUCAAAUCCAGGAAGAACCUACAGCCAGAAUCAUAGUGGAUUACACAGAUGUACAUAGCUAACUGACUGCAAUUGUCUUAAGUGUAAGAGGCAUACAGGGAUUGUGCCAUUUCAGGUAGAAGCUCCCUGGAACAACUGCUGGAAUAAGGUUCCAGAGUGGAAGGUGGAAGCUCCCUCUUGGGAUAAAGGAUCCACAGUGGAAAAAAAAAGUUGCCCUCUGCUGGAAAACAGAAUCUUUGUCCUCUGAGAAAAACAGUCUCCCUUCUUACGGAGGCCAGUGGAUUCCAUCCUAGAGGCUGUGUUGACCGUAUCUCCAAAUAGACAAUAACGAGGCAUCUUGAUUCCCACAACUCCAGCAGCACAGGGACCUGAAAUGAAGGACAGAAAGCAGGAAGUGGAGGCAAUAGAAAUUGCAGAGUAGAGUGAAGACAGGUGGCAUGUCUGGGAUUGGUGCCAUGACAAUGGAAGACAAAGACAAGACAAAGGCAUAACUUUCCGUAAGCAUUUCAUGGACCAGGCAAAUGCAGCUGGAUGGGGAAGCCUGUGGCACAAGGAGGUUCCAACAAGCAGAACAAAAGCCCAGGCUAGACUAUGCGCUGUGGCAUAUUAGGUAGGAAAUAAGGGUUAUUCAGUCAUGUAUUUGCAAAGAAUGACUGAGUGCAAGGUGUUAACAGUUUCAGAAGUUAAAGAUUAACUCAAAAACUGCAAAGCUGAGUUUUAAGCAAUGCCUGGCUAAAGAUUCAUCUAGAUGACUUCUGAGUUCCUCUCUUACUAUGUUUUUCUAUAACACACCUGUAACUCAUCUCAAAUCUUGAUGUUCAAGGCUGUUGAAUUAAACUAAGUUUGGCCUGAGGCUGCCUCUUAGGGGUCCCUACAAAACAAACUGCAACCUAGCUUGGUACAUAAACAAACUAAAAGCCUAACUAGGGUAUACUUACGUAAUAGAUAGCUGAGUCUCAGCCAAUCGCAGUAGCUGAGCUUCAGCCAGUCACAGGCUGUCAACUGAUGGGACCUUGACCAAAUCAGGGGAACACAGAGGUGUGACCAAUCAAGUUGUUUCUGUCCCUCACUUCUGUUUUCUGUCUAUAAACAUUGCCUGCCCACCUUGCCCAUUGAAGCUCUCUGAACCUCUUCUGGUUUUAAGGGCCAUCUGAUUUGAAAAUUAUUCUUUGCUCAGUCAAACUGUGUUAAGUUUAAUAUGCAUAAAGCUUUUCUUUUAACAAGGCUAUGUAACUUUCAUGGUCUUUGAAAGUGACUCAUGUACUUUCUGUAUAACUGCAGUGGCAGGGAAGGGAGGGGGUAUAAAUAUUAUAGAAAUUUCACCAUCUGUUCUUUAUUUCCCCUUGUAGAUAAUCUAAUCCACUUAAGACACUAUAAUAUUUUAGUGGGAAAAUAUAUUGAAGUUGGGGGUGGGGAGAAAGGGAAUGGGGAGGAAAUAAAUGAAAUCAUAGGUAUGGUGAUUUAAAUAGGAGUCCAAAGCUUCUUGUUUUUGUACAUGUUUGGUGUUUAUCAUGUCAGCAGUCAGUGGUGCCCUCAAAGGUCUUGUUCUUAGAGCUCUCUAUGAACUGGGUCUAAAUAUCUCAGGAUGCAUAGUGGGACCUCACAUUUGGCAAAAAGAAUUAAGAGUAAACAUUAUGUGAGGUCGAUCACACUUGAAGACCUUUUAUCCUUUCUGAUUUAGUUGGUGCACAGCAGUACAUAUGGUUCCCAAUUUGCUAAGAUGCUCAACUCCAUACCAGAGUGAACUCCAAUGCGAAUCCAUAUUGGGAGGCCAGGAAGAUGCUCCAGCUCAAAGGUCCCCAUGAAGCUGAGGAUUUCCAAGGCCAUCUUGGCAAUGUCUAUUGCAUGCCGAUUGCCAUUUCUCUUAGGCAAACCACUAGCCACCAUGUAGGCAUCACCGAUGGUUUCUACCUGUGGAAACAGUUUCUCAUGAGUGCCUCUGCCCCUUUGAAAAGUAUAGAAAGUAAACAGAAGCAGUUAAUCACAUGUCAAACACAAAAAGUGACUUGGGAACACAGUAUAAGCAUAGCCCUUUACACUUUUUCUGGGGCCAGUUCGAUCAGUUCUAUGCUGAUUUCUUCAGGGUUUUUAUAGUCCAGUUAAUGGGUGAUAAAAUAGCUAUAAAGGAAUUUAGCCAUUUAAAAGUACUUCAUAAUUAUAUAAAUUGUCCAGAUGUGGUGACAGUUCUAGAAAUGUUCAAAUAAAUAAUCUGAAUGGUUUUAUGUAAUUUGAGGAACACCCUUAGUUUCCUGAAAAUUAAUCCUUUAGCAAAUGUCAACAUACUAUUUGACAGAAUAUUGUACUUUGUAAUACGUAAUUGUAUACAUUCUUGUAGUAUGAUUUUCUAUUUAUUAUAACCCCAGUGUCUUCUCUGCUUCAUUUGCAGUCAGCCUAAACACUGCCCAUUUUUUGGAGGUGAUUUAAGAGUAUGCCAUUUUGUCUAAAUUUAAUACUUCAAAUUAAUUCCUGCUGAACUUCCUGUUGUACCUUUUUUGCUGCUUCUUAAAGUUGAAUGGUAAUUUUGACUUCUCACUCCUCUAAUCCUUCUACUUCUCUUCACUUUUAGCUCAGAUUCAACCACCAAUUCACUAAAUGUGAAACUAGAGCGGACAAGAGUAGUAACAGAAACAACCAAUUCAGGCUCUGAUGACCUCGAGUUGUACAAUUAAUGGUUUCAGCCUGUUAGGUGAUGUGGUUACCUUGUAGACAUCAUGAUGAUCAACAAUGUGGUCAAAACUCUUAUAGAUGUCAUUAAGCAUGUCCACCACUUCCAUGGGGGUGCUGUAUUUGCAGAUAGUAGUGAAACCUACAAUGUCACUGAAGUAGAUUGUAACUUCCUCAUAUAGUUCCGGCUCCACAAAGCCUUUCUCCUUCAGAGACUUUACCACUAGCCUAGAUGAACGAAGGGAAAAAAAAUGCCUUCAAGUUCAGAAAAUUUCUUCUUGUUUCACAUAAAUCUUUCAGAUAGUAGUGAUUGUCUACCAAGAAUUCUAGAAUUUGAGACUUCCAGUGAAUUGAGUGAAUCGGAAACAAAGAGAGGUUGUGUAUAUCAUAUACAUGAACGUAUUACACAAAUACACAUAUAAUACAUGUUGUGAACACAGAUGAAUAUAAGCAGGUUCAACAUUAACUUAGUGUUUGAUUAUUAAUCCUAAUACACAUAAAUAGAUAACUUUAAUAUCCUCAAAACUCUCAUACAUAUACAUACUUGUCCACUUUUUGCUUCUCUAUUGAUAAUCAACUUCUUACAGAUGUGGCUCUACAUGCAAAAGCUGAGGAGAGUGUGGUAUUACUUAAAUCACCACAGGUAUCAGAUCUGAAUUUCUCAACAAAGUUGAUAGUUUUACUUUGCCGGCAUAUGUAACAUGGCAUUGCUUAAUAUUACUAUGAAAUAAUGAUGCAUUUAAAUAUAAAUUUUGAUAUAUUCUGAACCAGAGUUCAUUUGAUAUUUUGAACCAGAUUUGGGUCCUUUGUAAAGCAGAAUCAAUCAUGUAAAUAAAUUAAAUCAUGCUAAAACUGUAGAAGUCAAAUUAAAGCAACUUUUAGAAUAUCUUUGCUGAAUGAGGAGCAGCAUAUCAGAUUCAAGAUUGAAGGAAAAGAACCAGAAGAAGGGACUCCAUACUUGGUGUGCCAAGUUACCUCUUCAUUGAGAAAAGGAAGUGAGGGCUGACAUGAAGUGGGAUGGUCCCUGUCUGUCCUUGGCAUCACUUUGUAGUGGCCCUCAGUAUGGAACCACUAGAAUCAGAAACUGGAAGCUGGGAGGUUCCACGGAAGUCAUUGAAAAGAAAUCUUUAUUUUUACAGAUGAGAAAGUUGAGGUCUAAAAAAGUAUGACUUCCAUAAGUUCCCACAGCCGAUUAGGGACAGAGACAGGGAUAGAAUUCAGGAAGCCUUCAGUCUCACCCAUCAGUCUUUUUUUGCAUUACACUCCCUGCACAACCCAGGCCUUGGAUAUUCAGGAAGAUGGGGAAGAUUUGGAGGUAUGCUGACUGCAACAAAGGAGGUGGGCUCUCCCGGAAAGAAAACAACCAAUCAACCACAAAGAUUUCUAACAUUCAUUUGGAGAACCUCCAGAGCAUCUGGAGAAACCUUUUUAAUUGGUGCAAUGACAAAACUUGGAACCUUUGAAAAACAUUCCUUUGGUGUGGCUUGGAUUCCUAGGGACACAACUGGAGUGGUUGUUCUUGACAUGCCCUGUACAAAGUGCAUAGUAUUUUGGAGGCUACGUAGAUGCAAUGACAAAAUUGGAUAUUCUGCCAUAUUUGCAGUUCAUUGUACUGCUUAUAUCUGAAAAGUCACGAGUUUGGUGAUAUGGUUUGGCUCCGUGUCCCCACCCAAAUCUCAUGCUGAAUUGUAAUCCCCAAUGUUAAGGGAGGGACCUGGUGGGAGAUGAUGGGAUCAUGGGUGCAGAUUUCCCCAUUGCUGUUCUUGUGUUAGUGAGUUCUCAUGAGAUCUAGUUGUUUGAACGUGUGUGGCACCUCCCCCUUUGCUCUCUCUCUCUCUUCCUGCCAUGCGAAGAAGGUGCUUGCUUCCCCUUCACUCUUCCACCAUGGUUGUACAUUUCCUGAGGCCUCCCCAGCCAUGCUUCUUGUACACCCUGUGGAACUGUGAGUUAUUUAAACCUCCUUUCCUCAUAAA